GGGUGAGUAACACGUGGAUAACCUACCUAUAAGACUGGGAUAACUUCGGGAAACCGGAGCUAAUACCGGAUAAUAUUUUGAACCGCAUGGUUCAAAAGUGAAAGACGGUCUUGCUGUCACUUAUAGAUGGAUCCACGCUGCAUUAGCUAGUUGGUAAGGUAACGGCUUACCAAGGCAACGAUGCAUAGCCGACCUGAGAGGGUGAUCGGCCACACUGGAACUGAGACACGGUCCAG
rnacentral:rRNA from 1 species